AAUCCGUUGAAUAUAUGGAAUAUCAAUGUGACACUAGAAGGCUUCCGGCAUUUUCAUACAGCAAAAGUUUCAUUAAAGGAAUAGAAGCACGAUGUAUGACUGGUCUAUCUGAUAUUGGUUUAAUGAAACAUGAGUCGUCCAAACUCUUUGCGAUUAAUGCCAAUGUCUUCGUUCCAUCACGACAAAGCUUAACUCACAUUUUUGACACUAUUGCUUUUGAAAAAUGCAAAACAUGCGUUAUAAAAAUUCUUGAAAAAUCCCUUUCUCCUACAAGACCAUGCGUGUGGAUUGUUGACUAUGAACAUUCAAAUGAAGCGUGCAAUAGUUUAUACAAAUACAACAGCUCGAACGCAAUAAUAUGCCUUUUAUUACUCGGAGAUGCUGCAACAACCCAAAAACUGUCUACACAUCACAAUGUGAUUAUCGCAUACACAUCUCAAGAUAACAUACUUGACGCCAUGGACGACUUGCUUGAAAGAUUCGCAUUCAUGACCGUAAGGCCAUUGAUGCAUAGAAUUAAGGAGAAAUAUGGAGCACAAGAAUCAUUAUCUGACAAUGUCAAUGAGGCGCUACACGAUGUUUACGAUUACGUACGCACGGCUUACGAGAAAAGCGCGGUACCAUAUGAUGAGUGGCCAGAAAUUCCAAAAGCGAAUUGUAAACUUCCAGCAAACGUAGAUGAUGUCGUGGAGUCCGUUAUUAAAAUACCUGGAGUAUUAUCCUGUAUUAAGAAACUGCAGCGACUCGAGAUAUAUAUCGACACAUCUGUAGCUGUGGAAGAAUUUUGCAAACAGUCCGUGCUACAAGUUUUGGAUG